CACCGCGGUUAUACGAGAGGCUCAAGUUGAUAAAUACCGGCGUAAAAUGUGGUUAACAUGCCAUGCUACUAAAGCUAAACAUCUUCAAAGCUGUUAUACCCACACGAAGACAGGAAACCCUUCUACGAAAGUGGCUUUAAAUUAAUGCUAACCCACGAAAACUAGGAAA
rnacentral:rRNA from 2 species